rnacentral:rRNA from 1 species
AUUGAACGCUGGCGGCAGGCCUAACACAUGCAAGUCGAACGGUAACAGGAAGCAGCUUGCUGCUUCGCUGACGAGUGGCGGACGGGUGAGUAAUGUCUGGGAAACUGCCUGAUGGAGGGGGAUAACUACUGGAAACGGUAGCUAAUACCGCAUAACGUCGCAAGACCAAAGAGGGGGACCUCCGGGCCUCUUGCCAUCGGAUGUGCCCAGAUGGGAUUAGCUAGUAGGUGGGGUAACGGCUCACCUAGGCGACGAUCCCUAGCUGGUCUGAGAGGAUGACCAGCCACACUGGAACUGAGACACGGUCCAGACUCCUACGGGAGGCAGCAGUGGGGAAUAUUGCACAAUGGGCGCAAGCCUGAUGCAGCCAUGCCGCGUGUAUGAAGAAGGCCUUCGGGUUGUAAAGUACUUUCAGCGGGGAGGAAGGCGAUAGGUUAAUAACCUUGUCGAUUGACGUUACCCGCAGAAGGAGCACCGGCUAACUCCGUGCCAGCAGCCGCAGUAA